rnacentral:rRNA from 1 species
AACGAACGCUGGCGGCAGGCCUAACACAUGCAAGUCGAACGCUCCGCAAAGGGGACGUGGGCGCACGGGUGAGUAACACGUGGGAACCUACCUUCUGGUACGGAACAACCAAGGGAAACUUUGGCUAAGACCGUAUACGACCUCCGGGUGAAAGAUUGAUCGCCGGAAGAGGGGCCCGCGUCCGAUUAGGUAGUUGGUGAGGUAACGGCUCACCAAGCCUUCGAUCGGUAGCUGGUCUGAGAGGAUGACCAGCCACACUGGGACUGAGACACGGCCCAGACUCCUACGGAGGCAGCAGUGGGAAUAUUGGACAAUGGGCGCAAGCCUGAUCCAGCCAUGCCGCGUGAGUGAUGAAGGCCUGGUUGUAAG